rnacentral:tRNA from 1 species
UCCGGUGUAACUCAAUGGUAGAGUGGCUGGCUGUUAACCAGCAAGUUACAGGUUCGAGUCCUGUCACCGGAGCCA